rnacentral:rRNA from 1 species
UGCGAGUCACGUAGCAAUACGUGGCACACGGCUCAGUAACACGUAGUCAACAUAACCAAAGGACGUGGAUAAUCUCGGGAAACUGAGGCUAAACCGCGAUAGAUCAAGAUACCUGGAAUGGUUUUUGAUUAAAAUCUAUAUGGCCUUUGGAUUGGACUGCGGCCGAUCAGGCUGUUGGUGAGGUAAUGGCCCACCAAACCUAAGACCGGUACGGGCUCUGAGAGGAGAAGCCCGGAGAUGGGCACUGAGACAAGGGCCCAGGCCCUAUGGGGCGCAGCAGGCGCGAAAACUCUGCAACAGGCGAAAGCUUGACAGGGUUAUUCUGAGUGAUCUCCGUUAAGGAAAUCUUUUGGCACCUCUAAAAAUGGUGCAGAAUAAGGGGUGGGCAAGCCUGGUGUCAGCCGCCGCGGUAAUACCAGCACCCCGAGUGGUCGGGACGAUUAUUGGGCCUAAAGCAUCCGUAGCCGGUUCUACAAGUCUUCCGUUAAAUCCACCUGCUUAACAGAUGGGCUGCAGAGGAUACUAUAAAGCUAGGAGGCGGGAGAGGCAAGCGGUACUUAGUGGGUAGGGGUAAAAUCCGUUGAUCCACUGAAGACCACCAGUGGCGAAGGCGGCUUGCCAGAACGCGCUCGACGGUGAGGGAUGAAAGCUGGGGGAGCAAACCGGAUUAGAUACCCGGGUAGUCCCAGCUGUAAACGAUGCAGACUCGGUGAUGAAUAGGCUUAGUGCCUAUUCAGUGCCGCAGGGAAGCCGUUAAGUCUGCCGCCUGGGGAGUACGGUCGCAAGACUGAAACUUAA